AGCGAACGCUGGCGGCAGGCCUAACACAUGCAAGUCGAACGAAGUCUUCGGACUUAGUGGCGGACGGGUGAGUAACACGUGGGAACGUACCGUUUGGUUCGGAACAACUCAGGGAAACUUGAGCUAAUACCGGAUGAGCCCUUAGGGGGAAAGAUUUAUCGCCGAAAGAGCGGCCCGCGUUAGAUUAGCUAGUUGGUGAGGUAAAGGCUCACCAAGGCUACGGUCUAUAGCUGGUCUGAGAGGAUGAUCAGCCACACUGGGACUGAGACACGGCCCAGACUCCUACGGGAGGCAGCAGUGGGGAAUCUUGCGCAAUGGGCGAAAGCCUGACGCAGCCAUGCCGCGUGAAUGAUGAAGGUCUUAGGAUUGUAAAAUUCUUUUACCAGGGACGAUAAUGACGGUACCUGGAGAAAAAGCCCCGGCUAACUUCGUGCCAGCAGCCGCCGUAACAC
rnacentral:rRNA from 1 species